rnacentral:rRNA from 1 species
AAAAUGAAAUGACUCUCAGCAAUAGAUAUCUCGACUCUCGCAUCGAUGAAAAACGUAGCGAAAUGCGAUACUUGGUGUGAAUUACAGAAUCCCGUGAACCAUCGAGUCUUUGAACGCAAGUUGCACCUGAAGCCAUUAGGUCGAGGGCACACCUGCCUGGGUGUCAUGCACUAUCGCCCCCCUUCCGACCCCCCACCUGUUAGGCUCGGGGGAAAGGGGUGGGGGGAAGAUGGCCUCCUGCUAUCCCGUCAAUCACGAUUGGCCUAAAGCGAGUCCCCGGCAAUGAUAGUGCCAUGACCGUCGGUGGUAGAGCUCACGACGUGCCUCAUCCUCGGUGAUGCAUGCUCGUUGUCCACCCGAACCCCGUGGGAUCCCCCGUAUUGCUCGAUCGAUGCUCGCGUUGUGACCUCCGGUCAGGCGAGAUCACCCUCUGAGUUUAAGCAUAUCAAUAAGCGGAGGAAAAGAAACUUACCAGGAUUCCCCUAGUAACGGUAAGUGAACCGAAAAAAGCCUAGCUUGAGAAUUGAGUGCCCUCGGUGUUUGAAUUGUAGUCUAGAGAAGCGUCCUCAGUGGUAGAUCGAGCCCAAGUGCCCUGGAAAGGGACAUUGGAGAGGGUGAGAGCCCUAUUGUUCCCAGAGCCUGUCGCACCAUGAGGCACUGUCCACAAGUUAGGUUAUUUGUGAAUGCAGCCCUAAUUGGGCGGUAAAUUCCAUCCAAGGUUAAAUACGGGUGAGAGACCGAUAGCGAACAAGUACCGCGAGGGAAAGAUGAAAAGAACUUUAAAAAGAGAGUCAAAGAGUGCUUAAAAUUGUCAUGAGGGAAGCGGAUGGGGGCCAGUGAUACGCCUCGAUCGGAUGUGGAAUGACGAGAGCUGGUCCGUCGAUCGGCUCGGGGCGUGGACGGACGCGGGUCGUAACGGUGGCCCAUCUUGAAACACGAACCAAAGAGUCUGACAUGUGUGCGAGUCAAUGGGCCAGAAAACCUGUAAGGCGUAAUGAAGAUGAUUGGCAGGAUCCCUCGUAGGUGCACCAUCGAUCGACUUUGAUCUUUUAAGAAGGGUUCGAGUGUGAGCAUGCCCGUCGGGACCCGAAAGAUGGUGAACUAUGCCUGAGUGGGGCGAAGCCAGAGAAAACUCUAGUGGAGGCCUGCAGCGAUACUGACGUGCAAAUCAUUCAUCUGACUUGGGUAUAGGGGCGAAAGACUAAUCGAACCGUCUAGUAGUUAAUUUCCUCUGAAGUUUCCCUCAGGAUAGUUGGAGCCCCCGUCGAGUUCUAUCGAGUAAAGCCAAUGAUUAGAAGCAUCGGGGGCACAACGCUCUCGACCUAUUCUCAAACUUUAAAUAGGUAGGACGAUGCAACUGCUUCGUUGAGCAGCGCCAUGAAAUCGAGAGCUCCAAGUAGGCCAUUUUUUGUAAGCAGAACUGACAAUACGGGAUGAACCAGAAGCUGGGUUACGAUGCCCAACUAUGUGCUAACCCAGAACCCACAAAGGGUGUCGGUUGAUUAAGAUAGUAGGACGGUGGUCAUGGAAGUCAAAAUCUACCAAGGAGUGUGUAACAACUCACCUGUUGAAUCAACUAGCCCCAAAAAUGGAUGGCGCUUAAGCGCGCGACCUAUACCCAGUCGUCGAGGUAAGUGCCAGGCCCUGAUGAGUAGGAGGGCACGGCGGUCACCAUAAAACCCAGGGCGUGAGCCCGGGCAGAAUGGCCGUUGGUGUAGAUCUUAGUUGUAGUAGCAAAUAUUCAAAUGAGAACUUUAAAGGCCGAAAAGGGGAAAGGUUCCAUGUGAACGGCACUUGCACAUGGGUUAAUUGAUCCUAAGAGACGGGGGAAGCCCGUCUGACAACACAUCCCACGCAAGCUUCGAAAGGGAAUCGAGUUAAAAUUCGUGAACCGGGACGCGAUGGCUGACGGUAACAUUAGAAAGUAUGGAGAUGUAGGUGGAGGCCUCGGGAAGAGUUAUCUUUUCUGUUUAACGGCCCGCCCACCUUGGAAACGGCUCAGUCAAAGGUAGGGUCCAGCGGUCGGAAGAGCACCGCACGUCGCGUGAUGUCCGUUACGCCCCCGACAGCCCCUGAAAAUUCAGAGGACCAAGUGUCCUCCGCGCCUGAUCGUACUCAUAAUCACAUCAGGUCUCCAAGGUGAACAACCUCUGGUUGAUGGAAUAAUGUAGGUAAGGGAAGUUGGUAAAAUGGAUCCGUAACCUUGAGAAAAGGAUUGGCUCUUAGGGCUGGGCACGGGGGUCCCAGUCCCGAACCCGUCGACUAUCGGUGCACUGCUCGAGAUACUCCCAUAGUGAGAGCGGGUCGUCGCAUGCCGACCAGGGGAUGGACUGCGAACGAUCCCUUGGGGGCCUUCUCAAAGCGUCGAACAGUCGACUCAGAAUUGGUACGGACAAGGGGAAUCCGACUGUUUAAUUAAAACAAAGCAUUGCGAUGGUCCCUACGGAUGCUCACGCAAUGUGAUUUCUACCCAGUACUCUGAAUGUCAAAGUGAAAAAAU